UACAGAGGGUGCAAGCGUUGUUCGGAUUUACUGGGCGUAAAGCGCACGUAGGCGGAUCGAUCAGUCAGGGGUGAAAUCCCAGAGCUCAACUCUGGAACUGCCUUUGAUACUGUCGAUCUGGAGUAUGGAAGAGGUGAGUGGAAUUCCGAGUGUAGAGGUGAAAUUCGUAGAUAUUCGGAGGAACACCAGUGGCGAAGGCGGCUCACUGGUCCAUUACUGACGCUGAGGUGCGAAAGCGUGGGGAGCGAACAGG
rnacentral:rRNA from 1 species